rnacentral:rRNA from 1 species
UACGUAGGGUGCGAGCGUUAAUCGGAAUACUGGGCGUAAAGCGUGCGCAGGCGGUGAUGUAAGACAGGUGUGAAAUCCCCGGGCUUAACCCUGGGAACUGGCAUUUGUGUACUGCAUCGCUGGAGUGCGGCAGAGGGGGAUGGAAUUCCGGCGUGUAGCAGUGAAAUGCGUAGAUAUGCGGAGGAACACCGAUGGCGGAAGGGACAAC